rnacentral:antisense_RNA from 1 species
AAGGAAACUGAGGCUCAAACAAGGAUAUCUAGCUUAUCCAUGAUUAGGUAGAGCUGACAAUGGGAUUAAAUAAUCAAGUCCUGCUACUGCCAGGUUAAGAAAACCCAGCUCUUUGUUAUUUUAUAACAACUGGGGGAAGCUGGUGUGCGUCACUGGCUGAUAGGAAGAGAAAUUGAAUUCCACAUCUAUGUCUUACCUCAUGCACAGUUGUUGGAUUGCUCUCAACAACUGUGAAACGGAACACAAAACAGUGAAACAGCUGGGUGCGGUGGCUCAGGACUGUAAUUCCAGCUCCAUGAGAGGAUUGCUUGAGGCCAGGAGUUUGAGACCAGCCUGAACAACAUAAUAGACUGGGAGCUCCAUGAGGUCCGAGACAACCAGAAGACUCCCAGCUCAGCAGAGACUGGCUAUGGCAAUCAGUAACUAUUUGUUGAAUAGGACAUAAUAGAAGAGCUGAAGAAUUUUAAACAAGUCACCACCAGUCCAGUGGAUUCCUCAAAGCAAACCUGUAAAUCUCGGCAUGAGUUGGAUUUAAGGCAGUACAUUUUCAGCUCCUGAAAAUUUGAACAGUUUCUCAAGAGAACAACUUGAAACAGAAAGGCAAGGAUGUAGAUGUGGUUGUAGAAGGUGAUGUCUAAGGCCACCAAACUGUCCACUGUGAAGAUAAACCGUGCAUGUUUAGUAGGAGGUGGCUCCCCUUCCC